rnacentral:rRNA from 2 species
CAUGCUUGAUUCCCGGGGUCGAGCGGACAGAAGGGAGCUUGCUCCCGGAUGUUAGCGGCGGACGGGUGAGUAACACGUGGGUAACCUGCCUGUAAGACUGGGAUAACUCCGGGAAACCGGAGCUAAUACCGGAUAGUUCCUUGAACCGCAUGGUUCAAGGAUGAAAGACGGUUUCGGCUGUCACUUACAGAUGGACCCGCGGCGCAUUAGCUAGUUGGUGAGGUAACGGCUCACCAAGGCGACGAUGCGUAGCCGACCUGAGAGGGUGAUCGGCCACACUGGGACUGAGACACGGCCCAGACUCCUACGGGAGGCAGCAGUAGGGAAUCUUCCGCAAUGGACGAAAGUCUGACGGAGCAACGCCGCGUGAGUGAUGAAGGUUUUCGGAUCGUAAAGCUCUGUUGUUAGGGAAGAACAAGUGCAAGAGUAACUGCUUGCACCUUGACGGUACCUAACCAGAAAGCCACGGCUAACUACGUGCCAGCAGCCGCGGUAAUACGUAGGUGGCAAGCGUUGUCCGGAAUUAUUGGGCGUAAAGGGCUCGCAGGCGGUUUCUUAAGUCUGAUGUGAAAGCCCCCGGCUCAACCGGGGAGGGUCAUUGGAAACUGGGAAAUCUUGAGUGCAGAAGAGGAGAGUGGAAUUCCACGUGUAGCCGGUGAAAUGCGUAGAGAUGUGGAGGAACACCAGUGGCGAAGGCGACUCUCUGGUCUGUAACUGACGCUGAGGAGCGAAAGCGUGGGGAGCGAACAGGAUUAGAUACCCCUGGUAGUCCACGCCCGUAAACGAUGAGUGCUAAAGUGUUUAGGGGGGUUUCCGCCCCUUAGUGCUGCAGCUAACGCAUUAAGCACUCCGCCUGGGGAGUACGGUCGCAAGACUGAAACUCAAAGGAAUUGACGGGGGCCCGCACAAGCGGUGGAGCAUGUGGUUUAAUUCGAAGCAACGCGAAGAACCUUACCAGGUCUUGACAUCCUCUGACAACCCUAGAGAUAGGGCUUUCCCUUCGGGGACAGAGUGACAGGUGGUGCAUGGUUGUCGUCAGCUCGUGUCGUGAGAUGUUGGGUUAAGUCCCGCAACGAGCGCAACCCUUGAUUUUAGUUGCCAGCAUUCAGUUGGGCACUCUAAGGUGACUGCCGGUGACAAACCGGAGGAAGGUGGGGAUGACGUCAAAUCAUCAUGCCCCUUAUGACCUGGGCUACACACGUGCUACAAUGGACAGAACAAAGGGCUGCGAGACCGCAAGGUUUAGCCAAUCCCACAAAUCUGUUCUCAGUUCGGAUCGCAGUCUGCAACUCGACUGCGUGAAGCUGGAAUCGCUAGUAAUCGCGGAUCAGCAUGCCGCGGUGAAUACGUUCCCGGGCCUUGUACACACCGCCCGUCACACCACGAGAGUUUGCAACACCCGAAGUCGGUGAGGUAACCUUUAGGGAGCCAGCCGCCGAAGGUGGGGCAGAUGAUUGGGGUGAAGUCGUUGCCAGGUACCACCUCUCCCGUAAAUUAAGGC